GAUGAACGCUAGCUACAGGCUUAACACAUGCAAGUCGAGGGGAAACGAUAUUGGAAGCUUGCUUCCGAUAGGCGUCGACCGGCGCACGGGUGAGUAACGCGUAUCCAACCUGCCCAUCACUUGGGGAUAACCUUGCGAAAGUAAGACUAAUACCCAAUGACGUCUCUAGAAGACACCUGAAGGAGAUUAAAGAUUUAUCGGUGAUGGAUGGGGAUGCGUCUGAUUAGCUUGUUGGCGGGGUAACGGCCCACCAAGGCGACGAUCAGUAGGGGUUCUGAGAGGAAGGUCCCCCACAUCGGAACUGAGACACGGUCCAAACUCCUACGGGAGGCAGCAGUGAGGAAUAUUGGUCAAUGGGCGAGAGCCUGAAUCAGCCAAGUAGCGUGCAGGAAGACGGCCCUAUGGGUUGUAAACUGCUUUUAUAAGGGAAUAAAGUGAGCCUCGUGAGGCUUUUUGCAUGUACCUUAUGAAUAAGGACCGGCUAAUUCCGUGCCAGCAGCCGCGGUAA
rnacentral:rRNA from 1 species